rnacentral:lncRNA from 10 species
CCCAAGCGAUCCUCAACCAAAUUGCUUUUAUUCACAAAUUAAUGGAAUAAUUAAAAGAAUUAUUGUGAUUUAUAUACGUCAUCAUACUGCAGUUUUAAAAGUACUUUGUUUUUUCUCCCCAAAUUCAAUUAAGAUUACUAAAAUUUGUGAGUGGACAUUUUUCCUAUUUUUCAGUUACUAAGUUUGUCUCUUAUUUAAGAAAAUGCAGGUCAGGCACGGUGGCUCACGUCUGUAAUCCCAGUACUUUGGGAGGCCGAGGCGGGCAGAGCAUCUGAGGUCAGGAGUUUAAGACCAGCCUGACCAACAUGGUGAAACCCUGACUCUACUGAAAAUACAAAAAAUUAGCCAGGUGUGGUGGUGGGAGCUUGUAAUUUCAGAUACUUGGGUGGCUGAGGCAGGAGAAUCGCUGGAACCCGGGAGGUGGGGGUUGCAGUGAACCGAGAUUGCACCAUGGCACUCCAGCCUGGGUUACAGAGCAAGAGUCCAUCUCAAAAAAAUAAAAGAAAGAAAAUGCAAUGUCCUCCUUAAGCCUAGAGACUGCCCCAUUAGGGUUCUCUUUCAUGCAUGUACGUGUCUGUAAAGAGAAUCAUGCUUAUGUUUCUGGGCAUUUCUAAUUGAUUUACAACAAACUCAGUCUUAGAGAACAUGCACCCAGAUGGGGAACAUCACAAAUUAGUAAGGGGGUUCCACUAUCUGUGAUCAUUAUUACAAAGAAACAAUUUCCUCUAAUAUUUCUUGGAAAGUCAUUGUUUACAGCGGGGAGAUUUUAUUACAAAAUUCCCCACUUUUUUUGUCUCCACUCUAUCAAUAACAGGAGCUAAAACAUAAAAGAUUAACUUACCCUAACUACUGACAAAAAAGCACCUAAAAUCUCUUCUUCCCUAAAACCUAUCAUACUAUCAAUUUCUAGAAUAUGUUUACCAUUCUGUGACUUCAAAAGCUACAGCAGUAAGAAUAUAUAAAAUAAGUACACAGUCUAUGUGCCAAAAAUUAUUAAAAUCCUCUUUUUAAUUAAAAUUAGGUGAGCUGGGCUUGAUGGCGGAUGCCUGUACUCCCCUCUACUUUGGAAGCUGAGGCAGGAGAAUUGCUCGAACGUGGGAGGCAGAGAUUGCAGUGGGCCAAGAUCACGCCACUGCACUCCAGCCUGGGUGAUAGAGCAAUACUCCAGCUGAAAAAGAAAAAGAAAAAAGAAAAAUUAGGCAAGCAUGGUGGCGGGUACCUGUAAUCCUAACCACUCACUCAGGAGGGUGAGGCUGGAGAAAUGCUUGUACUCUAAAAGUGGAAGUUGUAGUGAGCUGAGAUUAUGCAAUUGCACUCCAGCCUGGGUGACAAGAGUGAAACUCUGUCUCAAAAAUUAAAAAAAGAAAGAAAGAAAGAAAAAAAAUGUCAAAGGAAUGCACAAAGAAUAAGAAUAAAAAACUAGUAAUAAUUAUAUUUAUACAAAUGAGUGAGAAAAAUAACUUUUUUUUUUCUUUUUUGAGAUGGAGUCUCACUUUGUCACCCAGGCUGGAGUGCAGGGGCGUGAUCUCUGCUCACAGCAACCUCUGCCUCCUGGGUUCAUGCGAUUCUCCUGCCUCAGCCUCCCGAGUAGCUGGGAUUCUAGGUGUGUACCACCAUGCCUGGCUAAUUUUUGUAUUUUUAGUAGAGACGGGGUUUCUCCAGGUUGACCACACUGGUCUUGAACUCCUGAGCUCAGAUGAUCCACUGGGCUCGGCCUCCCAAAUUGCUAGGAUUACAGGUGUGAGCCACUGUGCUUGACCUCUUUUCUGAACUUUUCUAUGAACCACUUCAACUCAGACUUCCUUUUAUUUGUGUACAUCAGCAGCUUGAGGGAGUCUCAUAGGAAACACUUGGGGAAAUAGUGGGGUACACUAGAACGUGCUGCUGCAGACAUUGAUCAAAUGGAUAAGGUUCCUGAGUACUAUUGUGGUUCAGAGAGGGGCUGGAGUCCUAGCUUGUCCAUUAUCCAGCUGGCAAGUUAGUCACCUCUGAGAGCCUUAGUUUCUUCGUCUGAAAGAUGGUGAUCACAGCAAUACCUUCAUUGCAGAGUGGUUUUAUAGUAAGGAAUAAUGAUAAAAUAAGUUCUAUUGUUCAGCACAUAGUAAAUACUUAUUAAGACUGUUAUUUUAAUUAUUCAAUGAGAGUAAUUGUAGUAGAAAUUUAAGAAGCUAAUUUCCUUUUUUUUUUUUUUUUUUUUUGUGAGACAGAGUCUUGCUCUGUCGCCCGGGCUGGACUGCAGUGGCGCAAUCUCGGCUCACUGUAACCUCUGCCUCCCACGUUCAAA